rnacentral:rRNA from 1 species
GAGUCGUUGAUUUCACACUGCCGAGAAAAGCCUCUAGAUAGAAAAUAGGUGCCCGUACCGCAAACCGACACAGGUAGUCAAGAUGAGAAUUCUAAGGUGAGCGAGCGAACUCUCGUUAAGGAACUCGGCAAAAUGACCCCGUAACUUCGGGAGAAGGGGUGCUCUUUAGGGUUAACGCCCAGAAGAGCCGCAGUGAAUAGGCCCAAGCGACUGUUUAUCAAAAACACAGGUCUCUGCUAAACCGUAAGGUGAUGUAUAGGGGCUGACGCCUGCCCGGUGCUGGAAGGUUAAGAGGAGUGGUUAGCUUCUGCGAAGCUACGAAUCGAAGCCCCAGUAAACGGCGGCCGUAACUAUAACGGUCCUAAGGUAGCGAAAUUCCUUGUCGGGUAAGUUCCGACCCGCACGAAAGGCGUAACGAUUUGGGCACUGUCUCAACGAGAGACUCGGUGAAAUCAUAGUACCUGUGAAGAUGCAGGUUACCCGCGACAGGACGGAAAGACCCCGUGGAGCUUUACUGUAGCCUGAUAUUGAAAUUCGGCACAGCUUGUACAGGAUAGGUAGGAGCCUUUGAAACGUGAGCGCUAGCUUACGUGGAGGCGCUGGUGGGAUACUACCCUAGCUGUGUUGGCUUUCUAACCCGCACCACUUAUCGUGGUGGGAGACAGUGUCAGGCGGGCAGUUUGACUGGGGCGGUCGCCUCCUAAAAGGUAACGGAGGCGCUCAAAGGUUCCCUCAGAAUGGUUGGAAAUCAUUCAUAGAGUGUAAAGGCAUAAGGGAGCUUGACUGCGAGACCUACAAGUCGAGCAGGGUCGAAAGACGGACUUAGUGAUCCGGUGGUUCCGCAUGGAAGGGCCAUCGCUCAACGGAUAAAAGCUACCCCGGGGAUAACAGGCUUAUCUCCCCCAAGAGUUCACAUCGACGGGGAGGUUUGGCACCUCGAUGUCGGCUCAUCGCAUCCUGGGGCUGUAGUCGGUCCCAAGGGUUGGGCUGUUCGCCCAUUAAAGCGGUACGCGAGCUGGGUUCAGAACGUCGUGAGACAGUUCGGUCCCUAUCCGUCGUGGGCGUAGGAAAUUUGAGAGGAGCUGUCCUUAGUACGAGAGGACCGGGAUGGACAUACCUCUGGUGUACCAGUUGUCGUGCCAACGGCAUAGCUGGGUAGCUAUGUGUGGACGGGAUAAGUGCUGAAAGCAUCUAAGCAUGAAGCCCCCCUCAAGAUGAGAUUUCCCAACUUCGGUUAUAAGAUCCCUCAAAGAUGAUGAGGUUAAUAGGUUCGAGGUGGAAGCAUGGUGACAUGUGGAGCUGACGAAUACUAAUCGAUCGAAGACUUAAUCAA